GGAAUCUUGCGCAAUGGGCGAAAGCCUGACGCAGCCAUGCCGCGUGAAUGAUGAAGGUCUUAGGAUUGUAAAAUUCUUUCACCGGGGACGAUAAUGACGGUACCCGGAGAAGAAGCCCCGGCUAACUUCGUGCCAGCAGCCGCGGUAAUACGAAGGGGGCUAGCGUUGCUCGGAAUUACUGGGCGUAAAGGGCGCGUAGGCGGAUCGUUAAGUCAGAGGUGAAAUCCCAGGGCUCAACCCUGGAACUGCCUUUGAUACUGGCGAUCUUGAGUAUGAGAGAGGUAUGUGGAACUCCGAGUGUAGAGGUGAAAUUCGUAGAUAUUCGGAAGAACACCAGUGGCGAAGGCGACAUACUGGCUCAUUACUGACGCUGAGGCGCGAAAGCGUGGGGAGCAAACA
rnacentral:rRNA from 1 species